CUUCAACAGAACAUUUACCCAGUAUCUUCAAAAACUAUGAAAAUAGAAACCAUAAUUCAGAAUUCAAGAAAAAAUAUGCAAAAUAAAUGCUCCUAAAACACCAAGAAAUAUUGCACAAAAACUGCACAUUUAUCAAAAAAAAAUCAUUUGGGCAUCUCCAAAAGCUCAUGAAUUGAAGAAAUUAACCGCUGAAAAAGGUCAAAGAUCAGGCAAAACUCACUAGUGGAGCUUGAACUCUGAAACCCCUGUUUGCAUAUGAAGACCUCUCAAUAUUUUGCUCCAUAAAUAUCAAGAAUGUCUUAUCAUAUACAUAUAAAUCAAAUUUGCACCUUUUCUUGAAACUCAGAUCAAGAAACUCAAGCUAAAAAUCUUGAAAUCUAAAGGAAAAGAAUAAUUGGUUUAAAUAAAAAUAUUUGAGUUCAAAUAUAGGGCAAAGUAAAUUUUCAAGCCCCCAUAUGGAAAC
rnacentral:lncRNA from 1 species